AGUUCAUUAGCCUAGCUGGUCAGAGCAUCGUGCUAAUAAUGCCAGGACUGCAGGUUCAAUUCCAGUAUGGGCUA